rnacentral:tRNA from 1 species
UGGUAUGUAGCUCAGCGGUAGAGCAGACGACUGUUAAUCGUCCGGUCGGUGGUUCGAUCCCACCCUUACCAGCCA